rnacentral:rRNA from 1 species
CUCAGAUUGAACGCUGGCGGCAGGCCUAGCACAUGCAAGUCGAGCGGAAACGACAUUAUUGAAUCUUCGGAGGAUUUAAUGGGCGUCGAGCGGCGGACGGGUGAGUAAUGCCUAGGAAAUUGCCUUGAUGUGGGGGAUAACCAUUGGAAACGAUGGCUAAUACCGCAUAAUGCCUACGGGCCAAAGAGGGGGACCUUCGGGCCUCUCGCGUCAAGAUAUGCCUAGGUGGGAUUAGCUAGUUGGUGAGGUAAUGGCUCACCAAGGCGACGAUCCCUAGCUGGUCUGAGAGGAUGAUUAGCCACACUGGAACUGAGACACGGUCCAGACUCCGUACGGGAGGCAGCAGUGGGGAAUAUUGCACAAUGGGCGAAAGCCUGAUGCAGCCAUGCCGCGUGUAUGAAGAAGGCCUUCGGGUUGUAACGUACGUUUCAGUUGUGAGGUAGGGUGUGUAGUUAAGUAGCGUGCGCUGUCUUGUACGUUACGCGAACAGAAA